rfam:Alistipes sp. CAG:831 genomic scaffold, scf234
AAUAUCUCUCAGGGCAGGGUGCGAUUCCCUACCGGCGGUGACAGUCCGCGACUCCCUGAUAACCAGGGACUGAAUCGGUGAAAUUCCGAUACCGACGGUGACAGUCCGGAUGGAAGAGAGGUCAU